rnacentral:tRNA from 1 species
AUUUAAAUAAUUUAAGAAAAAUGUUGAUUUGUGGAGUCAGGCUUAUAGAUUAAAUCUAUUUUAAAUU